UACGAAGGGGGCUAGCGUUGCUCGGAAUCACUGGGCGUAAAGGGUGCGUAGGCGGGUCUUUAAGUCAGGGGUGAAAUCCUGGAGUUCAACUCCAGAACUGCCUUUGAUACUGAGGAUCUUGAGUUCGGGAGAGGUGAGUGGAACUGCGAGUGUAGAGGUGAAAUUCGUAGAUAUUCGCAAGAACACCAGUGGCGAAGGCGGCUCACUGGCCCGAUACUGGCGCUGAGGCACGAAAGCGUGGGGAGCAAACAGG
rnacentral:rRNA from 1 species